rnacentral:rRNA from 1 species
AUGGGCGCCGGCAGGCUGCUGGUCCUGUGCCUGGCGCUCUGCGUGGCGGCGGCGGCGGCGCAGCGGCCGAAUCGGCGGCCGAGGGCGGUGUCCGUGGGCGCGCUCUUCACGUACGAAUCCACCAUUGGCCGCGCGGCGCGGCUCGCCAUCGAGCUCGCCGUCGACGACGUCAACGCGGACCGCACCGUGCUCGCCGGAACCACCCUGAAUUUGAUCAGCCAGGACACCAACUGCAGCGGGUUUCUUGGAACCAUCGAAGCACUGCAGCUCAUGGAGAAAAACGUGGUUGCUGUCAUUGGCCCUCAAUCCUCUGGAAUAGGCCAUGUCAUCUCACAUGUUGUUAAUGAGCUACAUGUUCCACUUCUAUCGUUUGCAGCAACUGAUCCAACCCUAUCUGCAUCAGAGUAUCCUUACUUUUUAAGGAGUACCAUAAGUGACUACUUCCAAAUGCAUGCUGUCGCUAGCAUUAUUGAUUACUUUCAGUGGAAAGAGGUGACUGCUAUAUUUGUGGAUGAUGAUUAUGGCCGAGGCGGGGUGUCAGUCCUCGGUGAUGCACUUGGAGCAAAGCGGGCAAGAAUUUCACAUAAAGCAGCCAUUCCUCCAAACUCAGACACGGAUUUGAUCAAUGAUGUACUGUUUAGAGCAAACAUGAUGGAAUCAAGGGUGUUUGUUGUGCAUGUCAAUCCUGAUGCAGGGAUGAGAAUAUUUGCUAUAGCGAACAAACUCCAGAUGAUGGGCACUGGCUAUGUCUGGAUAGUAACAGAUUGGUUAGCUGCUGUCCUGGACUCCUCAGGGCCUGGAGAUCCUAAAGCCAUGAGUUAUAUACAAGGAUUAAUUGUUCUUCGCCAGCACACUCCUGAUUCUGAUGCCAAGAGGAAGUUCGUAGCUAAAUGGAAUAAUGCAGCUAAUAAUAGGAGCAUUGCUUCUGGCAUGAAUUCGUACGGUUUUUAUGCUUAUGACUCGGUUUGGGUUGUUGCCCGUGCUAUCAAUGAAUAUCUCAAUAGUGGGCAGCAAAUUACUUUCUCUGCAGAUCCAAGGUUGCACAAUUCAAAUGGAAGCAGUUUGCGUCUAUCAAAGCUUAAAAUAUUUGAUGGUGGUGAUCAGUUGCUACAGCAACUUUUGCUCACAAACAUGACAGGGCUAACAGGUCUGGUUCAGUUUAAUGCAGACCGCAAUUUGGUGCGCCCAGCUUAUGAUAUCCUUAAUGUUGGUGGUACUGGGUCCCGUUUGAUUGGCUAUUGGAGUAAUUACUCUGGUCUUUCUGUUUCUGCUCCCGAAAUUUUGUAUCGGAAGCCACCGAAUACGUCAACAAGUGCCCAACAGUUGCAUAGUGUGGUGUGGCCAGGCGACACAACUACUAAGCCGAGAGGGUGGGUUUUCCCUAACAAUGGCCAGCCUCUGAGAGUUGGUGUUCCAAAUAAACCAAGUUUUAGGGAGUUGGUUUCAGUUGGCAAGGGCCCUGAUAAUGUGACGGGUUACAGUGUUGAUAUAUUCAACGCAGCAAUUAAACUUCUUCCGUACCCAGUUCCUUGCCAGUUCAUAACAAUUGGGGAUGGUUCAAAGAAUCCUAACUAUGACGACAUUAUUAGUAGGAUUGCCACCAAUGCCCUUGAUGCAGCUGUAGGUGACUUUGCUAUUGUGAGAAAUAGAACGAAGAUUGCAGAAUUCACACAGCCUUAUAUCGAAGCAGGGCUUGUGAUAGUAGCGCCAGUGAGAAAAGCAAAUUCAAAUGCCUGGGCUUUCUUUAAACCUUUCACAUUGGAGAUGUGGUGUGUAACAGGCACUCUUUUCAUUUUUGUGGGAGUGGUUGUUUGGAUUCUUGAACAUCGGACUAAUGAGGAGUUUCGAGGCUCUCCACGACGACAAAUCCUGACAAUAUUUUGGUUCAGUUUCUCAACGAUGUUCUUUGCACACAGGGAGAACACCGUAAGUGCUCUUGGGCGUUUCGUGCUGAUAAUAUGGUUGUUUGUCGUGCUGAUCAUCAAUUCAAGUUACACUGCUAGCUUGACGUCGAUCCUCACAGUACAGCAGCUAGCAACUGGAAUAACUGGACUUGACAAUUUGGUUGCUAGCGCUUUACCUAUCGGAUACCCAGCUGGAAAAUUUGUCCGAAAUUACCUGAUUGACGAGCUGAAUAUUCCCGAAUCCCGGUUAGUACCACUGAGCACGGUUGAGGAGUACGCCAAUGCCCUUAAUCGUGGGCCGAAAGACGGCGGUGUUGCUGCAGUUGUUGACGAGAUGCCAUGCGUUGAGAUCUUCCUCUCAACCCACUGCAACUUCAGAAUAGUCGGUCAGGAGUUCACGAAGGAGGGAUGGGGAUUUGCAUUCCAGAGAGAUUCCCCCCUUGCUGCAGACCUAUCAACCGCCAUCCUUCAACUUUCAGAGAGUGGCCAGCUCCAGAGAAUUCACGACGAGUGGCUCACAGAUCCGACCUGCGGCGAUGAUGACAGUGGGUUGGGAGCAGUCAGGCUUGGCCUGGGAAGCUUCUGGGGCCUUUUCCUGCUGUGUGCUCUGAUAUGCGUCUUUGCUCUCAUGGUUUACUUCGCAAGGAUCUGCUGGCAGUAUAGCAGGUACUCCAGCUCCGAACCUCCCAGUGAGCCAAGCGACUCUGCUGCUGCCGUCACCGCUGCUACCAUUGCUCAAAUACGGCCAGAGAAGCCAAAGCCGACGCGCCUUGGCAGCUUCAAGGAACUGAUACAGUUUGCGGACACGAAGGAGGAGGAGAUCAAGAAGGUGAUGAAACGGAGAUUGAGCGAAAAAGAUACUCGGGCCACCGGAUCUGCGCACUCGGUCUCUUCAGCAUAG